rnacentral:rRNA from 1 species
UACAGAGGCCUCGAGCGUUAGGCGGAAUCACUGGGCUUAAAGCGUGUGUAGGCGGAUUGGUAAGUACCUUGUGAAAUCCCACAGCUUAACUGUGGAACUGCUCGGUAUACUGCUGAUCUUGAGCCACUCAGGGGCUACCGGAACAAAUGGUGGAGCGGUGAAAUGCGUAGAUAUCAUUUGGAACGCCAAUGGUGAAAACAGGUAGCUGGGGGAGUGCUGACGCUGAGACACGAAAGCCAGGGGAGCAAACGGG